rnacentral:rRNA from 1 species
AACGCGAAGAACCUUACCAGGCCUUGACAUACUCAGCAAAGCCCUAGAGAUAGGGUGGAGGUUAUCUGGGAUACAGGUGGUGCAUGGUUGUCGUCAGCUCGUGUCGUGAGAUGUUGGGUUAAGUCCCGCAACGAGCGCAACCCUUGUCUUUAGUUACCAUCAUUCAGUUGGGGACUCUAGAGAGACUGCCGGUGAUAAACCGGAGGAAGGUGGGGAUGACGUCAAAUCAUCAUGCCCCUUAUGGCCUGGGCUACAAACGUAAUACAAUGGCGUAUACAAAGGGAUGCGAAAGGGCGACCUGGAGCAAAACUCAUAAAGUACGUCUCAGUUCAGAUUGGAGUCUGCAACUCGACUCCAUGAAGGCGGAAUCGCUAGUAAUCGCGGAUCAGCAUGCCGCGGUGAAUACGUUCUCGGGGUUUGUACACACCGCCCGUAAUCAC